GACGAACCGAGCGAACGUUGUUCGGAAUCACUGGGCUUAAAGGGCGCGUAGGCGGGCUGCCGCGUCCGGGGUGAAAUCCUCCGGCUUAACCGGGGAACGGCCUCGGAUACGGGCGGCCUCGAGGGGGGUAGGGGCAUGCGGAACUGUGAGUGGAGCGGUGAAAUGCGUUGAUAUUCACAGGAACUCCGGUGGCGAAGGCGGCGUGCUGGACCCCAUCUGACGCUGAGGCGCGAAAGCCAGGGGAGCAAACGGG
rnacentral:rRNA from 1 species